rnacentral:pre_miRNA from 1 species
AGAGGAAUUGCUGGGUUGAAUGGUUGGUGUGUGUUUAACUUUAUAAGAAAUUGCCAAAAUGUUUUCCAAAGUGAUUGCACCAUUAUGAACUCCCACCAGCAAU